rnacentral:rRNA from 1 species
UGGGGAAUAUUGGACAAUGGGCGAAAGCCUGAUCCAGCCAUGCCGCGUGUGUGAAGAAGGCCUUUUGGUUGUAAAGCAAUUUAAGCGAGGAGGAGGCUACUAGUACUAAUACUACUGGAUAGUGGACGUUACUCGCAGAAUAAGCACCGGCUAACUCUGUGCCAGCAGCCGCGGUAAUACAGAGGGUGCAAGCGUUAAUCGGAAUUACUGGGCGUAAAGCGCGCGUAGGUGGUUCGUUAAGUUGAAUGUGAAAGCCCCGGGCUCAACCUGGGAACUGCAUCCAAAACUGGCGAGCUAGAGUAGGGCAGAGGGUGGUGGAAUUUCCUGUGUAGCGGUGAAAUGCGUAGAUAUAGGAAGGAACACCAGUGGCGAAGGCGACCACCUGGGCUCAUACUGACACUGAGGUGCGAAAGCGUGGGGAGCAAACAGG